rnacentral:rRNA from 1 species
GUGAGUCAUCGAGUCUUUGAACGCACCUUGCGCUCCCUGGUAUUCCGGGGAGCAUGUCUGUUUGAGUGUCAUGAACUCUUCAACCCACCGGUUUCUUGUAAACUGGCUGGUGUUUGGUUUCUGAGCGUUGCUCGUCCUCUGUGACUGAGCUCGUUCGUAAUAUAUGAGCAUCUCUAAUUCGACUUCGGAUUGACUCAGUGUAAUAGACUAUUCGCUGAGGACACACCUAGUGUGGCCGAAUGAGAUAAUUGUAGAAGCUUCCAACCCUUCUAGUCAUUUUAAGAUUAGAUCCUCAGAUCCAGAUAGGACUACCCGCUGAACUUAA